UUCACCAUGUAGCCUGAGCUUAAAUCUAUGAUCCACCUGCCUUAACCUUUUUAGUAGCUUGGAUUAUUCUACAACACCUGACUUAAUAUUUCUAAGCUGAAAAUCAGAAUUAUUGCUUUUUUUUGAAACAAAGAUGGUUAAGGAAAGGUGUCAGAAAAGGUCCUUUCAAGAUACUCUUGAAGACAUUAAGAAGCAAAUGAAAGAAAAAAUGAAUAAAAACUUGGCAGGGAUUGGGAAAUGCAAGUCCUUUAUUGUUGCACCGAGCCAAGUACCCACGAACACUUCUACACUACUGAAAUAUUACCAAGAUAACAACAGGUUUAGUUUUGUCUUUGGAAAAUGAAAAAUCCAAAGUGAGAGAAGCACAGGACAUCGUCCUACAACUGAGAAGAGAAUGCAACUACCUUACAUGUCAGCUCUAUACAUUGAAAGAGAAGCUAACUUACUGACAAAGUGAAGAAACUACUCAUAACUGGAAAGGGCAUCUGUCAGAAGUGGUCUCCAGCAUUUACAAUACAACCAGGGUCUUGUCUGUGAAGAUCUUACAGCAAAUUGCUCUUGAAGAAACUGAUUGUCCCCAGCAAACCACAGAACCAAGUCCUGCUGUUACUCUAGAGGCACAGGGUUGCGAUUUUGAUUCAGGUAAUGUUGAGUCUACUGAUGAAGUCUUGCCCAGAACUGUAUCUGUCCGUUGCUACUUAAAGAAAGAUUUUAGUAAUAUAAGUCACCCCACUACUUUGGCAGAUUGUAAAGCCAGUCCAAGAGUGGCACAAUCUCUGGAAGUUAAAGGAAGUAGAUGUAGAGAAGUAACCAUAGCCCUGCAUAGACUUGAAAAUGUAGAACAAAGUGUUUGUCUGUGAAACAAAGACCAAAUUGACUUAUGUUCUAGACUGAUUAACGCAGCAAAGAGUACUAAAACAUGAGAAGUCAUUUUAUCAUCAUUUUAUCAUCUAAACCUGAAUAAGCAUAAAAGUGCACAAAAAAGAAGAGCAAAGUAAAGAAGAACCAACCAGAGAUGUAAAUCAAAAUCCUCACUGAGAAGUAAGGGCAACAAAGGCAAAGAUAAUUAGGGCUUACCCGCAAACACUGGUUUUAUUUAG